rnacentral:lncRNA from 1 species
UUUGAAUAGUAAGAGAUUUGUCUAUUUGCUCAGCUAAAUCCAGAUAGUGUCUUGUCAUUUUAAAAUGAGUGUUUUUUAUGUUUAUGUGCCUCUCAGAAAGAACUUCAGCAUAUUGCUCACCUGUGGAACACCCACAUCAUUCAGAGAAGCAGAAAUGCAGUUGCACCAAGUGGCCGGCCUCACAUGAUGUACAUGCUUCCUCAGCUUUUUGGGGAAAGGACCAUCUCAAACAUGCAUCUGUGCAAGCAGUACAAACAUGCAGAGCACAAUGCAUACAACGAGGACCUUACCCAUGUGAUGAGACUGCCAUCCACUGGAAGGAUAAGCAUCCUGGGCUGACAGGAGACUCCCACGCCAAACCCAACGGGAGAGCAGGCGCAGGGUGAAGGCGGAGGAGGGGGGAGGACGAGACAGGAAGACAGAGAGCAAGAGGAAAGAGUGACAGAGAAACAUGCAGGCCCCCAGCCCCAAGGGCCACCCAGACGUGCACGGAGGAGGCAGGAGAGUAACACCAAACCACCCAGGGACCACGAGAGCACCCGAAAGGGACGCACGCCCGCGCAGAGGCACCCAACACACCCCAGCAAGCCACCCAGGUCAAGGCCACCCCACAAGCCCAUGGAGGUCCAGGACUACAGUUAGAUCAGUGUGUCAGUAAAGAGUGGUGCUGGCAGUCGCUUGCAGGCUAGAUCAUCAGGCUAAAAACGAAAAAUCAAGAUUCAAUGCAAUUAGACCUGUAUAUAUUGUUGAAACAACAACAAAAAGAGGCUUUAAAACUGUAAGUCUGUACUGUACUACACAUUGUUUUCAUCUGGUGGCUCUGUUUAGGGAAAAAGAACUACGCUUGUCACGCUAUUGUCGUCAGGUCCGCUCAUCGUUUGAGUGGUUUGUGUGUUUGUCCCGCUCCGCUCAGCCACCAGAACUCAAUCGUCUGGUGAGCACUUCCAGAUUAAUCACCUUUAUGAAAAAUACAAGGAGAUUAAGAUAGAUUCCAGGCUAGCCCACUCAUGUCUUUUGCACCAAGGUGAGGCAAAUUUAUUUGUAUAGCGCAUUUCAUACACAAGGCAACUCAAUGUGCUUUACAUGAUCAAAAAGUGCAACAGGAAACAUUCAACAGCUUAAAAUCAAUAAGAACAUUAAAGUCAGCAAAAAAUAAAAAUAAUCAAUAAACAUAUUACA